UACACGAAAGUGUGACGGGGUUACCCAAAGUGUUCAAUUUUGAACUGUGGUAGGUGAGUAAUGUUCCCUACUAGAAAGGAGAGGGCAAGGCUGGUGCCAGCCGCCGCGGUAAAACCAGCUCUUCAAGUGGUCGGGAUAAUUAUUGGGCUUAAAGUGUCCGUAGCCGGUUUAGUAAGUUCCUGGUAAAAUCGGGUAGCUUAACUAUCUAUAUGCUAGGAAUACUACUAUACUAGAGGGCGGGAGAGGUCUGAGGUACUACAGGGGUAGGGGUGAAAUCUUAUAAUCCUUGUUGGACCACCAGUGGCGAAGGCGUCAGACUGGAACGCGCCUGACGGUGAGGGACGAAAGCCAGGGGAGCGAACCGGAUUAGAUAUCCGGGUAGUCCUGGCCGUAAACGAUGCAUACUAGGUGAUGGCACGGCCAUGAGCCGUGUCAGUGCCGUAGGGAAACCGUUAAGUGUGCCGCCUGGAAGUACGGUCGCAAGGCUAAA
rnacentral:rRNA from 1 species